rnacentral:rRNA from 1 species
UACGGAGGAUGCGAGCGUUAUCCGGAUUUAUUGGGUUUAAAGGGUGCGUAGGCGGUCUGUUAAGUCAGCGGUAAAAUUGCGGGGCUCAACCUCGUCGAGCCGUUGAAACUGGGUGCCUUGAGUGGGCGAGAAGUAUGCGGAAUGCGUGGUGUAGCGGUGAAAUGCAUAGAUAUCACGCAGAACUCCGAUUGCGAAGGCAGCAUACCGGCGCCCGACUGACGCUGAGGCACGAAAGCGUGGGUAGUCGAACAGGA